rnacentral:rRNA from 1 species
ACGCUGGCGGCACGCCUAACACAUGCAAGUCGAACGAAGUAGCAAUACUUAGUGGCGAACGGGUGAGUAUAAUGUGGGUAUCUGCCCUUUGGUUUGGAAUAACACGAGGAAACUUGUGCUAAUACCGUAUAAGCCUUUACAGGGAAAGCUUUAGCGCCAAAGGAUGAGCCCGCACUUGAUUAGCUAGUUGGUAGGGUAAUGGCCUACCAAGGCAACGAUCAAUAGCUGAUCUGAGAGGAUGAUCAGCCACAUUGGGACUGAGACACGGCCCAAACUCCUACGGGAGGCAGCAGUGGGGAAUCUUGCACAAUGGGGGAAACCCUGAUGCAGCGAUGCCGCGUGAGUGAAGAAGGCCUUUGGGUUGUAAAGCUCUUUCGUCGGGGAAGAAAAUGACUGUACCCGAAUAAGAAGGUCCGGCUAACUUCGUGCCAGCAGCCGCGGUAAUACGAAGGGACCUAGCGUAGUUCGGAAUUACUGGGCUUAAAGAGCACGUAGGUGGUUAGAAAAGUUGGUGGUGAAAUCCCAAGGCUUAACCUUGGAACUGCCACCAAAACUUUUUAACUAGAGUAUGAUAGAGGUAAGUGGAAUUUCUAGUGUAGAGGUGAAAUUCGUAGAUAUUAGAAAGAACACCAAUUGCGAAGGCAGCUUUCUGGAUCAUUACUGACACUGAGGUGCGAAAGCAUGGGUAGCGAAGAGGAUUAGAUACCCUCGUAGUCCAUGCCGUAAACGAUGUGUGCUAGACGUUGGAAAUUUAUUUUUCAGUGUCGCAGCAAAAGCGUUAAGCACACCGCCUGGGGAGUACGACCGCAAAGGGUUAAAACUCAAAUGAGAAUUGACGU